CCAGACUCCUACGGGAGGCAGCAGUGAGGAAUAUUGGUCAAUGGUCGGGAGACUGAACCAGCCAAGCCGCGUGAGGGAUGAAGGUACAGAGUAUCGUAAACCUCUUUUGUCAGGGAACAAAGGCGGGGACGCGUCCCCGGAUGAGUGUACCUGAAGAAAAAGCAUCGGCUAACUCCGUGCCAGCAGCCGCGGUAAUACGGAGGAUGCGAGCGUUAUCCGGAUUUAUUGGGUUUAAAGGGUGCGCAGGCGGUCUGUAAAGCGCGCGGACAAGCCCGGGGCCCCCCCCCCGCCCCGCCGUUGAAACUGGCAGUCUCGAGUUGGAGAGAAGUAUGCGGAAUGCGCGGUGUAGCGGUGAAAUGCAUAGAUAUCGCGCAGAACUCCGAUUGCGAAGGCAGCAUGCCGGCUCCACACUGACGCUGAGGCACGAAAGCGUGGGUAUCGAACAGGAUUAGAUACCCGCGUAAG
rnacentral:rRNA from 1 species